rnacentral:rRNA from 1 species
CGUAGGUGGCAAGCGUUGUCCGGAUUUAUUGGGUUUAAAGGGUGCGUAGGCGGUCUUGUAAGUCAGUGGUGAAAUACGGCAGCUUAACUGUCGAGGUGCCAUUGAUACUGCAGGACUUGAGUACAGACGUGGUAGGCGGAAUUGACGGUGUAGCGGUGAAAUGCUUAGAUAUCGUCAAGAACACCGAUAGCGAAGGCAGCUUACUAGACUGUAACUGACGCUGAUGCACGAAAGUGUGGGGAUCAAACAGGAUUAGAUACCCUGGUAGUCCACACUGUAAACGACGAUUACUCGAUGUUGGCGAUACACAGCCAGCGUCUUAGCGAAAGCGAUAAGUAAUCCACCUGGGGAGUACGCCGGCAAACGGUG